GCCGAGCGAGCAGCCUGCCGUCCGUGCGGCCGGCCGCCCCGUGCAUGCGCCCCGCGCCCCGGGGCCCCGCGCAGCGAGCGCUCCGCGCGGGCUGCCGCCGGCCCCGCGGCCCCGCGCCCCGCCGCCCCGGGGCCCCGCUCCGCAGCGCAGCGCAUGGAGCCCGGCGGGGACCACCGGAGCCGGAGCAGCGGCGGCAGGGGCGGCCCCGGGCCAGCAGUGGCCUCGGCACGGGGCCGACGGCUGCCGCCCGCCGGAUCGAGCGGCAGCGCGGAGCCAGAGGAAGACGAAGGCGGGCAAGAUCUUCAGCUGGAAGGGGGUGCCUUGGGGUCCUGGGGGAGUGCCCCCCUGCCCUCCUCCAGGGCCAGGGGACCAGCAUCUUCAGGCAGGAAAUAUUCAGACCACUGUGAGGCCCGGGCCUCGAGGCCUGGAAAGAGCCGCAUCCCUGGCCGUGACCACCGGCGCUACUACCACGACCACUGGCGGCUGGAGUACCUGAUGGACUUCAACCCUGCCCGGCACGGCAUGGUGUGCAUGGUGUGCGGCAGCUCCCUGGCCACCCUCAAGCUCAGCACCAUCAAGCGCCACAUCCGCCAAAAGCACCCCUACUCCUUGCAUUGGAGUCCCCGGGAGAAGGAAGUCAUCAGCAACAGCUGGGAUGCACACCUGGGGCUGGGGGCCUGCGGAGAGGCCGAGGGCCUGGGGGUCCAGGGGGCUGAGGAGGAGGAGGAGGAGGAAGAAGAGGAGGAGGAGGAGGGGGCCGGUGUCCCAGCUUGCCCGCCCAAGGGCCCAGGCGACGUUCCGCUGUCCCCUGGAGCUCCCUUGGAGCGGCCCGCCGAAGAAGAGGAGGACGAAGAGGACGGCCAGGAGCCUGGGGGACUCGCCUUGCCGCCGCCGCCUCCUCCCCCGCCUCCGCCCCCGCCCCGCAGCCGGGAGCAGCGGCGGAACUACCAGCCGCGGUGGCGGGGCGAGUACCUGAUGGACUACGACGGCAGCCGGCGCGGCCUGGUGUGUAUGGUGUGCGGGGGCGCGCUGGCCACGCUCAAGGUGAGCACCAUCAAGCGCCACAUCCUGCAGGUGCACCCCUUCUCCAUGGACUUCACGCCUGAGGAGCGCCAGACUAUCCUGGAGGCCUACGAGGAGGCGGCGCUGCGCUGCUACGGCCACGAGGGCUUCGGGCCGCCCGCCCCGGCGCCGCGUGACGGCGGCGCGGACCUCAAGUCUGGCGCUGUGUGUCGGGCGUAGCGGCCUAGCGGGCCCCCGGGUCAGGUCGGGUCGGGUCGGAUCG
rnacentral:lncRNA from 1 species